ACGUGCUUGCACUGAUUUCACAAUGAAGCGAGUGGCGAACUGGUGAGUAACACGUGGGAAUCUGCCCAGAAGCAGGGGAUAACACUUGGAAACAGGUGCUAAUACCGUAUAACAACAAAAUCCGCAUGGAUUUUGUUUGAAAGGUGGCUUCGGCUAUCACUUCUGGAUGAUCCCGCGGCGUAUUAGUUAGUUGGUGAGGUAAAGGCCCACCAAGACGAUGAUACGUAGCCGACCUGAGAGGGUAAUCGGCCACAUUGGGACUGAGACACGGCCCAAACUCCUACGGGAGGCAGCAGUAGGGAAUCUUCCACAAUGGACGAAAGUCUGAUGGAGCAAUGCCGCGUGAGUGAAGAAGGGUUUCGGCUCGUAAAACUCUGUUGUUAAAGAAGAACACCUUUGAGAGUAACUGUUCAAGGGUUGACGGUAUUUAACCAGAAAGCCACGGCUAACUACGUGCCAGCAGCCGCGGUAAUACGUAGGUGGCAAGCGUUGUCCGGAUUUAUUGGGCGUAAAGCGAGCGCAGGCGGUUUUUUAAGUCUGAUGUGAAAGCCUUCGGCUUAACCGGAGAAGUGCAUCGGAAACUGGGAGACUUGAGUGCAGAAGAGGACAGUGGAACUCCAUGUGUAGCGGUGGAAUGCGUAGAUAUAUGGAAGAACACCAGUGGCGAAGGCGGCUGUCUAGUCUGUAACUGACGCUGAGGCUCGAAAGCAUGGGUAGCGAACAGGAUUAGAUACCCUGGUAGUCCAUGCCGUAAACGAUGAGUGCUAAGUGUUGGAGGGUUUCCGCCCUUCAGUGCUGCAGCUAACGCAUUAAGCACUCCGCCUGGGGAGUACGACCGCAAGGUUGAAACUCAAAGGAAUUGACGGGGGCCCGCACAAGCGGUGGAGCAUGUGGUUUAAUUCGAAGCUACGCGAAGAACCUUACCAGGUCUUGACAUCUUCUGCCAAUCUUAGAGAUAAGACGUUCCCUUCGGGGACAGAAUGACAGGUGGUGCAUGGUUGUCGUCAGCUCGUGUCGUGAGAUGUUGGGUUAAGUCCCGCAACGAGCGCAACCCUUAUUAUCAGUUGCCAGCAUUCAGUUGGGCACUCUGGUGAGACUGCCGGUGACAAACCGGAGGAAGGUGGGGAUGACGUCAAAUCAUCAUGCCCCUUAUGACCUGGGCUAACGUGCUACAUGGACGGUCAACGAGUCCGAAGUC
rnacentral:rRNA from 1 species